CCCCACUCCUUUUCCCUCCUCCCCGUCUCUGUUCGUUAGAGAGAUGCUCCCAUGGCAACGCAAACAGCAGCAACUCCAUAGAGGCAAACCAGGAGGAGCCACGGCGCACCACCUGAUGUAUCUCGCGGCUUAUUGAAGAGCCGUGAAGCCCCGCGCGCCACCAGCUGCGGUGCUGCAACCCCAUGGAGGCGACGCAACACGAAGGGGAGAGGCGGCUGCUCGCCGGCGAAUCCCGGUGCUUGCGACGCAGCUGGCCACCGGCGAAUCCUGGUGCUUCCGACGCAACUGCUCGCCGGAGAAUCCCAGUGCUUGCGAUAUAGCUACUCAUGGUGUGAGCGCCAUGGUGCAGGGGAUCAAUUGGCCCUGAGACGCAAUGCUCACCAGCUGCUCGUCGGCGGCUCCUGAUGCGGCACGCCGGAUGGGGGCGCGGCGGUGCAGGGUAAUUGUUGUUGCGAUGCAGCGCUCAUCACUGGCUGCCAGGGUUGCAAUGGAGCUUCGCCGGAGUUGCUGUGGAGCUUCGUCGGAGCCGGGUGUACCGUUGGAGCUCCGGCGAGGCUGCAAUGGAGCUCGGCCGGAGUUGCAAUGGAGCUUCGCGUGGAGCUAUCGGUGUUGCAUUGGAGCUACGCCGGAGUUGCAAUGGAGCUUGCUGGAGUUACGCCGGAGUUGCAAUGAAGCUUUGCAGGAGCUGUCAGUGCUGCGUUGAAGCCUGCCGGAUCUGCAAUGGAGCUCGUUGGACGCUAUCGGCGCUGCGUUGGAGCGGUGGAGCUCUGCCAUAGGUGCAAUGGCGCUGCUGCGUUGAGCUGCCGUGUCGUUGUUGUGAUCCAACGGCCACCAGCACACUGAUCGGACGUCUACCUAGGCGGAUGAUCCGGCUGAUUUGUAGUAGCCCCAAGAUAAAACCAUGUUCACCCUUAAAUUUUCGACCGUGAAGGCCUUUCCAUCAAAAAAGAGAAAGAAAAACUAGACCAUCCGCUGAACCGCGCGUGACGGGUAGCGACCGACGCGCACAGCCAAAAAAAGUUGCAAGCUAGCAAAAACGAACCCCACUUCGACGGCAGACUACCGCUGACCGCCGCCUUGAUCUGCUUCCGGCGCCACUACGCCGGCCAUGGGCUGUUCGUCUUCUCUGCCAGGUUGGCCUCCUUCUCACCAACAGGCCAAGGUGACAUCUUACUUUCCCUACUUGGCCCUUGUAUCCUUUUUAUUCCUCUGUCGCGCUGCAUAUGGAAGCUGGAGUAUCGAAAUCUCAGGUCAGUAGGAUGUUGCCCUACGGGAUGGAUUAAGAUGGGGCGAUUUUAGCCUUUCGGUUAACGGCUCAGGAGGCAGGUCAAUGCUGGUGUUGUUUGGGGGUAAAUCUUGGCGGGGACUAGCGACGGCGGCCCGGUAGCAAGUUGCUUAAUUGUUGAGGUGUUUGGUUCGUACUGUAUUUGGUAAGCAUGUGUAUGUGAUUUCUUAGAUUUCUUAGAUUCUGUUCCAUAUAACAUAAGGGACUGCAUUCAUGAUCGUGGAGUAGGUUAGAGUUUGUGUUGGGGAAAGUUUAAUCUUUUUAGGUUGGUCAGUUCUCAGCUGCAAUUAGUACACUGGCACUAGGUGGUCAUGUAGAUGCGAAAUUAUGAAUUUCCGCGAUGAUAAAUAGAGUUAGAUUGCUAGGCAGAUAUACUCACAACUAGUUAUGUUUUUGGUAGCUUUUGGAUUACCACUGCAUCCUGAAUGUUGAUAAUGUAGAAUUGCUUCUCACCAAACAUGUAGGAUGAAACACUAGUUAUUGCGGUUGAGUGAUCAUGCUAUUGUGGGAGCAAUGACACAAAAUGUGUAGACAUCUGCAUUUUGUGGGUUAUGUAUAGAUUUGGGUUCCUAAAUUGGUACUCCAUCCGAUUCAUAUUACUUCUCACCCAAAAGGAUGUAUCUAGACAUAUUUCAGUGCUAGAUACAUCCGUUUGAGCGACAAGUAAGAUCGGAGGGAGUACCUUAGUCUCAUUGAUACAUGUAUGUAAGCUCGCGAAGGAGUCCCCGAGGGGGUGAGGGUGAUGUGUACGUUCUUUUUCGAUAAAGGGCGCUGUAUUACUUAAAAAGGGAUGUGUAUGUCCUAGUGACGGGUUCUCCAAGAAUACCAAAUUUGGUGAGAUUGAUACAAUAAUUAUUACACAUGACAACAUGUAAAAGUGGUAUUUACAGGGCUUCUCUCACAAGAAGAAUUAAUAUACCCCCAAACAGAAUAAGUCAGGGUCUGAAGGGUGAAAUUAUCUACAAAAGGAAUAUCUACAUGUUGAUGAUGGAGGGGCACUGAGUCAGCUCCCUUCCGAGUACAGCCGUCUCUUGGGAGUUCGGAUCAUUUGAUGUUUGUCAAGCAAACAGUACUGGAGGCUUGGGCAAUAUCAACAACGAGAACUCUGCAACUGACUCAAAGAAUUUGAAAGUGAAGUUGGUUUUACUGGGAGAUUCUGGUGUUGGGAAAAGCUGCAUUGUUCUUCGCUUUGUCCGUGGUCAGUUUGACCCCACAUCAAAGGUAACUAUUGGUGCAUCAUUUCUGUCAUAAACAUUGGCAUUGGAGGACUCCACAACAGUGAAGUUUGAAAUAUGGGACACUGCUGGCCAGGAGAGGUAUGCUGCAUUAGCACCUCUGUACUACAGGGGAGCUGGUGCUGCAAUCGUUGUCUAUGACAUAACAAGUGCAGAAUCAUUCAUCAAAGCACAAUAUUGGGUGAAGGAACUUCAGAAACACGGUAGCCAGGAUAUGAUCAUGGCUUUGGUAGGAAAUAAGGCUGACCUACAUGAAAAACGCACUGUGUCUUCUCAGGAAGCACAGGAGCACGCGGACAUGAACAAUAUGUUUUUCGUUGAGACAUCGGCGAAAACGGCUGAUAAUAUAAACCAACUAUUCGAGGAAAUUGCCAAGAGGCUGCCGAGGCCUACACCGCCAUCCUGAUUAACAUCGGUCUGUGUUUGUAAACAGCCUGGGUGAUUGUGUAAUGCACAAUAUGAGUAGAAACGCCUGAACGAACAUUUGUGGCUGUUUCAACAUGGCAGGUCAAGCCAUCUGUAUCCCUGCGAUCAUUGUUUUUGGAAACGUAGCUCAUGUAAAGCUUGUCCAUUGCUCUAACUGUGCCGAAAUGGUGGAGGUAAUCUGCUCCCAGCACGGGUAAGUUAAAUGAAGCUUAGGGCCGUGCUCUAACGCAUGGAUGUUCAGUAAGUAUCUUAAUAUGGUUGAGACUGAAACAUCUUAUCAAUGCAGUGCAUUGUUUUUAGGUUCGGCUUGACUCGCCUGUUGAGCCGCCAUUGACUGUAGUUUACUGGAAGGGUUCAUUGCCAUCACUGUUGUGGAUAAUAAACCCGGACAGAGGGAGUAGUUAAAUAAUCAGUUUUGCUGACCAAAUAAUAGUACUACUAGUUUAAUCACUUUUGCUGACUUAGGCUUCCUUCCUUGUGUUAUGUCAGCUUGAUCUCACUCGGUUAACAUUAUGCUUGUGUCGUGUGAAAGAGAGAACCAAAAACAAAGUGUUAGUUACUUCCAUCUUAGACUAGCCACAGUGGGAGUAACUUCAGCAGUAACAUCGAGUUCACCUCAGCAAAUUUGCUUAUGUGGCAAUGAGUUAAUGAGGAGAGAGGUAGUAAUAGUAACUUAGCUAGUUACUGUAACAUCACAUGUCCCAAUGCAAUAUGAGUCUACAACCUAAUAAAUGAAGCUAUGCAUGUUACCACACUUAUGUUACUACCUACUAUGAAG
rnacentral:rRNA from 1 species